UGGAGGUUGCUGCAGAUUAAUUCUCACUCUCUCUGUCUAGGUUUCUUUUCAGGUUUUGUCCAGGGUUUUGUUCCAAGGAAAUCUCAGAGUGUUUUGCUUCUCUUCCUUUUUUUGUCUGUUCUCCCUCUUUUAUAACCUGAUUUUCAUGGCUUUGUGGGCUUAAAUGAGAGAGGCCCAAGUCCAAGAUUUUUCUAUUAUAUUUUAUUUAUUUAUUUAUUUAUUUAAU
rnacentral:lncRNA from 1 species